rnacentral:tRNA from 2 species
CCCCUCGUAGCUCAAUGGUAGAGCAUGUGCCUUUUAAGCACGUGACGGAGGUCCGAUUCCUCCCGGGGGGACAA